UAUUGAUCUUUAUUUUGAUAGUGAAUAAAAUUUUCUAUUAAAAAUUCAAUUGAUUCCGAUUUUUUUACACUAUUAAACUAGCAAGUAUUCCGUACCGACCAUUAAAAAUUGUCAAUUUUGUGAUCUUUUGAUUGUAAUGAUAUAAAAAAAUUAUAAAAUUUGAUUUUUUGAAGUUUUUAAAUAUUCUAAAUAAUAUUUAACGGUAUGAAUCGUCGAUUCGGAAGUUUUAUUAUUGAAAACGACUUAUGAGUACGAAGGCGAUCACACUCAUAAGAGUAUAGUAGCUU
rnacentral:lncRNA from 1 species